AAAAAAGAAAGAGAAUCCAUUUACUAUUACAACUUUCAUGAUCUUUAACUGGGUAAAACAGUUCAUCUUAGGGCAACUAUUCUGAACCAAGGUAUCUCAAAUGGACUAACGUACAGAAUAUAUCCCAAAAGUAGCACCAAGGGACUGAAAUUUGGAAGGUUGUAGUUGCUUCAGGACUGCUGGCUGCUGCUGUACUGCUGCUACGGUCAUGUGAUCUUCAUUUUCAAUGUUCUGUGGCAGUUUGUCAGCCAGUCUCACAAUCCCUGGUUCUUCACCCAGCAGCAUCACUCACCUGCCUGCUGGGAAGGAAGGGAAAGGAAAGAAGGAAAGGGGAAGAAGGAACAGCUGUGUAUCCUUCCUGGCCUAAGCCACCCACUGCAUAUUUCCCGAACCUGUGCUACCUCUGCACAACUUCCCCAACUCAUGUUGCUCUCUCUUCAUGCCUUCCCCAACCCAUACAGUAUUUCUUGCACACCCCCAUAUACCCUUCCUGACCUGCACCUGUGUGCCUUCCUUGACCCAUACGAUACCUCUUUGGCACCCACCAUACCCUUUCCAACCCAUGUCCUCCCCAACUAGCACAGCAGCUCUUACACAUCACUGUGACCCCUUUGCAUUGUUCUUGUCCUGCACUUUCCCCGCAUACCCUACUUGACCCAUGAGGGAUCUCUUACACCAGGGGUCCCCAACCCCUGGAUCAUGGACCAGCACAAGUCUGCAGCAUGCCAGAAACCAGGCUGUGCAAAUAAGGAAAGCCCCAUCCACCAGAUGCAGGCAGCACACAAAACCACACCUCUUCCAGUCCGCGGAAGAACCUCUCUCCACAGAUCAGGUCCAUGGUUUCCAAAAGGUUGGGGCCACUGUCUUAUACAACCCCAUGACUCCUUACUCUUCUUUACCUGCAUCCCCACUGUAGCUCCUGACCAACACAGCACCUUACACACACUGGAACUUUUCCAGACCUAUGCCACCCAUCUGCACAGCAUCUCUGGUGCACACUCACACACCCCUUGCAACCCAUGUAAUACCUUUCAUGCACCUCACAUACCAUUCCUUGAUGUUAUUUGGGGCUGCUGCUCCGUCGCUUAUUUCCCUUCCUCCACUCUCCCCCUUUAUAUAAAUGUCUAGCCAUUAAAUAUAUGCAUAUAGUACAUGAAAGUAAUUUUCUUUCUAAAAAUGCAAACAUCUAAAUCAAACAUUAUAUCCCAUGUAAAUGGCAUUUUCUCCCAAUUCUGAAUCUUUUAAAUGUAUUCAGUGUGGUGUUUUUCUAAAAAGCAUAAUCCUGUAAAUUGUAUUCCUAUGGCCUAGGAGCACAAUAUUUACAACCUACUUAUCCUGAGUGAAUCUUUCCUCCUGGUAAGCAUACUUUGAAUGGCAGCAUCAAUCUUCUGUUAUUUGAUUACAGACAUGAAAGAGAAGAUUUUUUUUCAAUUGUAGCGCUAUGAGUUAAAGGUUCACACAUAUUGAAAAUGACAUUUUUACUUAAUUGAGGCCUGUUCUGUAUCCAGCUGGUUUCAAAAGUCUUUUUAAAAGUAGCAUUUAAAAACUAGCAUAUCAAAAACUAUAAAUGUUAGAAAAUACUUUGCAUAUUGAACUAUAGUCAAUAUUUCUGACGUUCUUUUCAGUUUAAGACCUACUGAAAUUCUCCAACUAUUAAAAUAUUCUCCCCAUUUUUAAAUACUGCGUAGUUAUAGUCUGAACUUCAACAAGCUGCUGUAUCCUAAAAUGAUUAAACAGAUGUGAAGCCUAUAGCAGCAUUAGACCUCUGAUCUGAUUUUAGCAUACAGAUGGAAUUAAAUUAAUUCAUACCAAACCCUGUAAAAUAAAAGGUAUGGCAUUGAAUGCUAGUGCUCUGUUUAACUAGAAUGUACCUGUACCAACAGCUGUUGAGAAAAAUUGUAUGCCUUAAUUUUCAUAGAAAUCUACCCUUAAUGAUAUCACAUUAUUUUGAAAUAAAAAUUAAAUUGCAAAUUUGUUUUCUUUUUGCCCCUUUUUGCCUGUUUUUAAGGAGCUCCCCUGAUUUAUUACAUAUAUACUAUUGCCUUUUGGUUUUACAAACUUUGUAUUACAUUUUCAAAACAUUUGCAUAAUAAAAAGUGCCAUCAAAAAAUUUGAGGCUAAUUUACUAUUUGAGUGCCAUUUACUAUGGUGUAAUUUUGUGAGUUUGGAAGAUUUUGUUUUGUCAGUAUAAAUUACUGUAAUAUCAAGGUGAUGUGGAUGGGUAUAUAUACAUGUAUCAUGAUAACCUUUUAACUGUUGCCAGGUUUUAGAUACCAGUCAAAUUUAGCAGAUUUUAAAAAGACAGAGAGGCUGGUGUGCCAAUGGAUCAACAGAAAACUAUCAGCAAACAGCAUUAACUAGGGUUUGUUGGUGAAAACGCUCAGCCAAUCUCAGACAGCAACAUUGGGAAUCGGAUGCUCCAAAGCAUGGGCUGGACACCUGGUACAGGCCUUGGGCCAGAUGGCAAAGGGAUAGCCGAACCAAUCCGGGCAGUUCAGAGGCCAAAGGGACUUGGACUUGGAUUCAGCUGACAGAAAGAGAUUCCAGUUGCUGGUUCAGACAUCAACAAAACUAACUUGAACUUUGAAUAUCUGAAAACAUUCUAAUUUGUUGCCAAGACAUCCAGUGAUUCUUAUUGUAAUUUUUUAAUAGAGAUGCUUCAUUGUUUUCUGUUAAAGCUGUGUGGGGACAGUCUUUAGGGCAGUCCUAAUCUUUAUCCUGAGUGUGUAAUAAUGAUCAUCUUUUAAAUUGUACCUUUUUUUAAAAAAAAUUCUGUGGUCUUAGUUAUGUUGUCAAAGAUUCAAAGAAAUUAUUAAAUUCUCCUGCCAUUUUUUAAAAGCCUUGCCAACACCAUACAUAAACCCAUUAUCUCUUGCUGGUUUAACAUAGGUCUUUUACUCUGGAAAGCUGCUUAGUUACUAAGGCAUCUUGUCUGGGAAGUAUUUUGCUGUGUUUCUCACAUUCAUUCCAAAAAAUUGUAGUGGAUAGUACAAAAGAAAGCCUGGCUACAAAAUUCUUUUUGUAGUAAGAGGCAAAAAUAGAAUAGGAAAAGAAAUCAGAGUUUACCUUUUGAAUUGAGAUGCGCAAAAUGCUUUGAGCUAAACACAGCAUAUGGGGUUAGAUGGGGUUAACAGUGUCAUUUUUUACAUGGGUGUGAUAAAUGUAAUGAAUGUUAACAGGGUAAGGUGUUUCAAUUGCUUUGUGGCAUGGACUAUUUUUGUGCUAUAUAUAUCUGUCUCUCCACAGAUGCCCCCAAUCUGUAGUCCAAAACAUUAGGGGCAAAGCCUAAAUUAAAUUGUGUGUAUAUAAUUAAAUUAAUUACAUACAAGUAAUAUGAUAUUUUAUAUUUCUCAUCUUUGAGCACUAUAAUUGUGAUUGCAACAGGUGCUACAUCAAAUUUUGGGGGUCACAUUUAGCCCUGGAGCCUCAGGUGAUGCAACCUUGUUUUUAAAAUAUUGCCAUAUGACUCUAUAUAGCUUUGAUUCAUUGGGUCUUCUAAAUGGUUCAGUAUUGUUAUAUGCAAUCUCUCUAGAUCGUCUUACGUUGCAUCUUGCUUCAAAAUGUGCAGUUUUGCACGAGAAAUGCAAAAUGACAAAUGAUGAAUUUGUCUUCCAACAUUUGCAGCAGGUAACUCAAUUCUCUUUUUUUAUUUACAUGCCCUCCAAGUACAAUAUUAACCUUUUUUUUAAACUUUCCUUUCUGGUGUCUUAGCUUGUAUUCUUUUUAAAAUAAAUUUUUAAACCUACUGUCACCUUUUACCAUGUCACUGUGACUGUCUAACUUGAGGGGAUGGAUUUAAAAUGGGACCAUAUUAACUAGAGUCCAUCCAUGGUAGUUUGGGGAAUAUUUCUGUAAUUGACAAAUGGUGCCUGCUAGUGAGAAGGAAGGCUUCCCAGGCACAAAUUUUUAAAUAAAAAAAAAUGACAAAGGGAAUAGUAAAACAGACAGUCUUUUGAUAAGAUUAACAAUAUUAUACUUAAUCUUUGGACUUGUCAUUGUGCUGACAUCUCAAAUUCAUUAAAGAGGACUUCCAUCAAUGCA